CCGCAACGAGCGCAACCCUUAUUGCUAGUUACCAUUCAUUAAAUUUGGGGGAACGUCUAGCGAGACUGCCAGUGAUAAAACUGGAGGAAGGUGGGGAGUGACGUCAAAUCAUCAUGCCCCUUAUGACCUGGGCUACAAACGUGAUACAAUGGCUGAAACAAAGGGCAGCGAAGCAGUGAUGUGAAGCGAAACCCAAAAAAGCAGUCUCAGUUCGGAUUGAAGUCUGCAACUCGACUUCAUGAAGUCGGAAUCGCUAGUAAUCGCGAAUCAGAACGUCGCGGUGAAUACGUUCUCGGGGUUU
rnacentral:rRNA from 1 species